UACGAAGGGGGCUAGCGUUGCUCGGAAUCACUGGGCGUAAAGGGUGCGUAGGCGGGUCUUUUAGUCAGGGGUGAAAUCCUGGAGCUCAACUCCAGAACUGCCUUUGAUACUGAGGAUCUUGAGUUCGGGAGAGGUGAGUGGAACUGCGAGUGUAGAGGUGAAAUUCGUAGAUAUUCGCAAGAACACCAGUGGCGAAGGCGGCUCACUGGCCCGAUACUGACGCUGAGGCACGAAAGCGUGGGGAUCAAACAGG
rnacentral:rRNA from 1 species